rnacentral:lncRNA from 1 species
UUAUUUAUGCCCUGUGUGUUUAUGCUCAAUUCAUCAUAAUAUAUUUCUUCUAAUUUCUAUUUAUCAUAAUUUAUUUCUAAUUUCUAUUUACAUGCUUUGUUCAUUCCACCGGUUUAGUCACGGCGAUCCGGUGGUUUAACCACUGACCCAGUAUCCCCACUGGUUCGAUGACCAGUUCGAUUUUUAAAACACUGCUUUUAAACAAUGUAAAACCAUAUCAUCAUCAACACUUUCUCUCAAGUAACAAUUAUUCAGAAUCAGAGAAAAUUCAUAGUGACUUGCUGAGAUAUUCAACUGCAUGGAAGAAUUCUUCAAUUCUCAACAAACCAAACAAUCUCUUCCACAUACCAAGAUGAAAAAAUCAGAUUCAUUGUGUGCUCAGUUACAUGAAGAUCGUCAGAGAC